AUUGAACGCUGGCGGCAGGCCUAACACAUGCAAGUCGAACGAGUGGCGGACGGGUGAGUCAUGUCUGGGAAACUGCCUGAUGGAGGGGGAUAACUACUGGAAACGGUAGCUAAUACCGCAUACCAUCAGAUGUGCCCAGAAGGGAUUAGCUAGUGGGUGGGGUAACGGCUCACCAAGGCGACGAUCCCUAGCGGGUCUGAGAGGAUGACCAGCCACACUGGAACUGAGACACGGUCCAGACUCCUACGGGAGGCAGCAGUGGGGAAUAUUGCACAAUGGGCGCAAGCCUGAUACAGCCAUGCCGCGUGUAUGAAGAAGGCCUUCGGGUUGUAAAGUACUGUUAUCAGGGAGGCGGUACCCGCAGAAGAAGCACCGGCUAACUCCGUGCCAGCAGCCGCGGUAAUAC
rnacentral:rRNA from 1 species